GACGAACGCUGGCGGCGUGCCUAAUACAUGCAAGUCGAACGCUUCUUUCCUCCCGAGUGCUUGCACUCAAUUGGAAAGAGGAGUGGCGGACGGGUGAGUAACACGUGGGUAACCUACCCAUCAGAGGGGGAUAACACUUGGAAACAGGUGCUAAUACCGCAUAACAGUUUAUGCCGCAUGGCAUAAGAGUGAAAGGCGCUUUCGGGUGUCGCUGAUGGAUGGACCCGCGGUGCAUUAGCUAGUUGGUGAGGUAACGGCUCACCAAGGCCACGAUGCAUAGCCGACCUGAGAGGGUGAUCGGCCACACUGGGACUGAGACACGGCCCAGACUCCUACGGGAGGCAGCAGUAGGGAAUCUUCGGCAAUGGACGAAAGUCUGACCGAGCAACGCCGCGUGAGUGAAGAAGGUUUUCGGAUCGUAAAACUCUGUUGUUAGAGAAGAACAAGGACGUUAGUAACUGAACGUCCCAUGACGGUAUCUAACCAGAAAGCCACGGCUAACUACGUG
rnacentral:rRNA from 1 species